GGCAAAGCUUCUCCAUUCCCUGGAUGAGUCUAGCUCUGACGCACCCGCCCAUUGCGACCUCCGCAGCACCACGGAUUUGGCUCUGCGUGCCACGAAAGCCACGGCCCAGGCCAUCGGACGUUCCAUGGCCAACCUGAUUGUGCUUGAGCGCCACCUCUGGCUCAACUUGACUGAGAUCAAAGAGAGCGACAGGGUAGCCUUUCUUGAUGCCCCAGUCUCUCCAUCCGGUCUCUUCGGGCCAGCUGUAGAGGGAUUCACCGAGUGUUUCACUGCAGCACAGAAGUUGUCCCAGGCCAUGCAACACUUCCUGCCCAAACACUCCAGCUCUGCCUCGAGUCGCCCCAGGACUGCGCCGACUCAGCAUCAGAGCAAGCCUGCCCCUUCUACCUCACAGGAGGCACCCCCUAAGGAGCAGCAUCAGCAAGCUCGCCCCGCUAAGCAUGCUAAACCGCCGAGACGUCAGGGCCCCCGGCCAAGGAUUGUGCUGGACCCGACGCCCUCAAAUCUUCCUGAUCAUUGGGGAAGAAAGAGGAAGGGGCAAAGUCCCGCCACGGCCGGACCACCCCAAAAGCUCUCUCGCCUGCCUGCUCUGCGACCUGGGCCCACUUUUGUUGUGCCCACGCAAAGCGCCAUUAUUAUGGCGAACACAAAUGUUUCACAUUUUCAAAAAGAGAGCGUUUUUCCUCUUCCACACUCGUCAGUGUUCAGGCCCCUGUACAGCGGCCUGCCAUCCGACGCUAUCCAACCUCUUGUCACGAGGGCCGAGGCCUGGCAGGCCAUCCCCGGAGUGUCGAAGUGGGUUUUGGGGAUAAUAAAACACGGCUACUCACUGCAGUUCGCCCGAAGACCCCCGCGUUUCCGUGGGGUGAUUCCCACUUUGGUAGAAUCGGACGACGCUCAGGCCCUCCGCACCGAGGUGAUGACUCUGCUAAGGAAGGGAGCCAUAGAAAUAGUUCCUCCCUCAGAAAGCGGAUCGGGGUUCUACAGCCAUUAUUUCCUGGUCCCCAAGAAAAUCGGACGACGCUCAGGUCCUCCGCACCGAGGUGAUGACUCUGCUAAGGAAGGGAGCCAUAGAAAUAGUUCCUCCCUCAGAAAGCGGAUCGGGGUUCUACAGCCAUUAUUUCCUGGUCCCCAAGAAAGAUGGCGGUCUCAGACCCAUCUUAGACCUCAGGCUCCUGAACCUCUCCCUCAUGAGACGGAAGUUCAGGAUGUUGACAUUGAAACAGAUCCUCAUGCAGGUUUGCCCGAGGACUGGUUCUUCUCACUGGACCUGAAAGAUGCUUACUUUCACAUCCAGAUAGCCCCCCAUCACAGACGAUUCUUGAGAUUCGCGUUCGAGGGAGUGGCUUACCAAUAUACAGUCCUUCCCUUUGGGCUGUCUCUAGCUCCCUGCACUUUUACAAAGAGCAUGAACGAGGCACUUUCCCCUGUGAGACAGAUGGGAAUCCGUGUUCUGAACUAUCUUGAUGACUGGCUCAUUCUAGCCCAGUCGCGAACCGAGCUAGACCAUCACAGAUCUGUGCUCCUGAGCCACUUAGAGGGCCUAGGACUCAGGGUCAAUUUUGCCUGUCUGGCAGCCCUGGAACCUUGGAUUGAACCUUGGAAUGGGCAUUACUCAGGCUGCGAUCGCUCAAGGAGACGCAUAUACCUGGCAGGACAAAUCAAGUCCCCUCGGAUGAGUGGAUGCUCCAUCCCCAGAUGGUUCUCAAAAUCUGGGAGUUUUUUUUGGGAAGGCAGAGGUCGACCUCUUCGCCUCAGAAAGCAACUCUCAUUGCCCAACCUAUUUUUCAAAGGACACAGAUGCGCUGGCCCACAACUGGCCCAGCCUCCUUCUUUAUGUUUUCCUCCCUAUUGCUCUGAUCCCUCAGGUCAUCAGACAAGUCAAGGAAGACAAGCACCACUCUGGUGGCCCCACUCUGGAGGAGCCAAGUUUGGUCCUCGGAGCUAUUCAGGCUUUCCACAAAAGCCCUAUGGCCGAUCCCCCUGAGGCGGGACCUCCUCUC
rnacentral:lncRNA from 1 species